ensembl:ncRNA C07A4.9 ncRNA
CUCCGCCUUGUCCCAAGGGGAAUUGGGUGGAGAACUAAUUAAGAAAGUCGAAAACAAUAGAAUAUAUUGAGGUGUAGACUAUGUCGGAAACAAGAAAAAUGCGAAUAAGAGGAUGGAAAGGAAGGGAAGGAAAAAAUGUGCAACAAACUUGGGAGCUAAGACCGGACUCCACAUUUAACCCAUCCAGUGUUGUUUCUCACGAUGGGCUCAAGAGCGGAACGUCGUUUCAUUCUUGUGAUUUUACCAUCCAUUCCCACCAGAUUUGAGAUUUACCGAGUG